UCUUGGGGGAAGCGGAAGGCGGUGGUUGCUUGGCAACGCCGGGCCGCGGCGACCGUUGGUCCUUUCGCAGCGUGGCCCGGGCGGCUCCGCGCUGCCCCGGCUGCGGAGGGGCUGCGCCUCCGGGGCAGGCCCGCCCGGCGGCCUCAGGCCGAGGAAACAAAGGGAACAGGAGUGGGGAAAGAAGAUAAAAAGCAGCAGCAUUGUGGAACAACUGAUUUGGUGAGAGAGGAAUGUUGCACCGUUUCAAGAACUUGAAAUAAGAAAAAGUCUGGAAUUUCUGGAGUCAUGGCUAGAGCUGACAUCAAACCAAAAUCUAUAUGUCAUGCCAAAAAAUGGUCGGAUGAGGUAGAGAACUUAUACAGAUUUCAGCAAGCUGGAUACAGAGAUGAAGUUGAAUAUAAACAAGUAAAGCAAGUUGAUACGUUACAUGGUGGACGCUGACCCUUUCCAGGGCUGUGCCUGCAUCGUUCCUUCAAUGGCCCGUCGGUCGGUGCCUGAAGACUUCUGGGCUUCAUUCUUGUGUGUGCUGGGGUGCCCCGAGGGGCAUGGUUGUGCCAAACAAAUGCAAGACGUUUUCAGGGAACAUCCAACGCUGAGAUGUGCGUAGGGAAAAGCCGCCAGUGGGCUGCGGGUGCUAGGAGAUUUCACCUAAAGCAGAUGUGAUGUUUCUUCCACUCUCUCUGGGACUGCACAGCCUGCUCUGAGAAUUCAGCAGUGAGAGGGCAGGUUUGGCUGUUGUCUGCACCUGUGUCACUACUUGAGUUGCUCAAAGGCUCCCAGCAUGGAAAUGACUCAGGACCGUUGGUGUCUUUUCCUCUCUACCCUUAUAAGGGGUGUUUUGAAGAAGGGCUCACCAGUACACACUUGUUUAAAGCCUGCCACCAAACUAAAGAGGCAUUCUGGAUGUUGCCAAGUUGCUUAUGCACUUACCAGAAGCUAAGAGGGGAUUUUUUUUUUUUGGAGGGGAAAAAAAAUUUCACAAUGAUAAAUCUUAAAAAAAAAAAAAAAAAAAAAAAAAAAAAAAAAAAGUGAUUCCUCUAAGUCGUCUUUUAUCAAAUGCUGUGACUCCUUCAGUUGAGAUUUUGGGGCAUGAAGGAGCAGACAGGAGAGCUUCUGUGAAAUGUUAAAUGAGAUAACAUAAAGGAGAGAGAAUCCACAAUCCCAUGAAACUCAGACUCCUGGCAAACCUGUAGGAGAGACAAGGUUCUAUGAGUAAGUCAAAUAACAUAUCCAUGACUCCAUAUGUUUCAGCUUCUUUAUUUGUUUUAUCUCUCAUCUGAUCUCAAAGAUUAAAACAUAAAUGUAGAAAAAGUAAAAUAAAAUAGUUUUAUGGUAGUACUUAAAGCUGCUGUCUGCAUUUUACAGGCUCUGAGGGAGGAAAUAGGUUGAGAUUGUGUACAGAUUAUGUGAGCUCGUGUCUCCCUCUGCUGACUGCUCCACAGCUACCUGAAACUUUUCCUUUAUUUCAAAUGAUAAAAAGUUCUGAUUUCCCCUCCACCUGUUGUUGUGCUAACGU